AUACGGAGGGUGCAAGCGUUGUCCGGAUUUAUUGGGUUUAAAGGGUGCGUAGGUGGCGUGUUAAGUCAGUGGUGAAAGCCUGCAGCUCAACUGUAGAGGUGCCAUUGAUACUGACAUGCUAGAGUAUGGACGAGGUAGGCGGAAUUUGUGGUGUAGCGGUGAAAUGCAUAGAUACCACAAAGAACACCGAUAGCGAAGGCAGCUUACUGGACCAUAACUGACACUGAGGCACGAAAGUGUGGGUAGCGAACAGGAUUAGAAACCCUAGUAGUCC
rnacentral:rRNA from 1 species